rnacentral:rRNA from 1 species
GUGACCUCAAAUCAGGUAGGACUACCCGCUGAACUUAAGCAUAUCAAUAAGCGGAGGAAAAGAAACUAACAAGGAUUCCCCUAGUAACUGCGAGUGAAGCGGGAAAAGCUCAAAUUUAAAAUCUGGCAGUCUUUGGCUGUCCGAGUUGUAAUCUAGAGAAGUGCUAUCCGCGCUGGACCGUGUACAAGUCUCCUGGAAUGGAGCGUCAUAGAGGGUGAGAAUCCCGUCUUUGACACGGACUGCCAGGGCUUUGUGAUGCGCUCUCAAAGAGUCGGGUUGUUUGGGAAUGCAGCUCAAAAUGGGUGGUAAAUUCCAUCUAAAGCUAAAUAUUGGCGAGAGACCGAUAGCGAACAAGUACCGUGAGGGAAAGAUGAAAAGAACUUUGGAAAGAGAGUUAAACAGUACGUGAAAUUGCUGAAAGGGAAACGCUUGAAGUCAGUCGCGUUGUCCAGGGAUCAACCUUGCUUUUGCUUGGUGCACUUUCUGGUUGACGGGUCAGCAUCAAUUUUGAUUAUUGGAAAAAGAUUAGGGGAAUGUGACAUCUUCGGAUGUGUUAUAGCCCUUGGUUGCAUACAAUGGUUGGGAUUGAGGAACUCAGCACGCCGCAAGGCCGGGUUUUCAAACCACGUACGUGCUUAGGAUGCUGGCAUAAUGGCUUUAAUCGACCCGU